GCUCCCACCACUACCCGUUUGUCAACACAGGCCAUUUUCUAGAACAAGUGCUUCUCUCAGAUGUUCUUGACUUUGGGCGUGGAAUUCCUCUCCCUGUCUUGCAAAUUCCUACUCAUCCUUGAAGACUGAACUCAAAAGCUAUGACUUAAAAAAAAAAAAAAAAAAAAAAAAAUCCAGUGUUGCUAUGGCUGUGGCAGCCACAGGCAGCUACAGGCUAGGGGUACAGUCGGAGCUGUAGCUGCCAGCCUACACCACAGCCAUAGCAACACCAGAUCCGAGGUGCGUCUGCAAUCUACACCAUAGCUCACAGCAAUGCUGGAUCCUUAACCCACUGAGCAAGGCCAGGGAUCAAACCCGCAACCUCAUGGUUCCUAGUCAGAUUCAUUUCUGCUGCGCCAUGACAGGAACUCCUGGGUUAUGUAAUUUUAUCUUCUAUUUAGUCUCUGUAAACUGCUUGUAGGUUUGGCCAUUCCACAUGGCAUUGGACAUUUUCCCCAGUGGUUUGUGGAAGUAAGUUGUGUUGGAGCUUUUUAGUGAGGGGCAGGAACGUUGCAAUAAUUCUGUCUAGUGGCCUGGCACCCUGGGAACAUGUAGUCUGGGAAGAUGCCCGCCUGUAUGAUGCUGGUCGGUAACAAAGGGGCACUGGCUUUCUGUCCACUGUGUACCUGUCGUUGCUGGAAUUUUCUGUCCUAAGCUGCACAUUUUGUAGUGGUACUCUCAAACAUAAACAUUUGCUUUUCUCUAUUUGCAACACUUUGGGCCAUAUUAGUUUUUCUUAAGAGAGUGUAUGUUUUUAUUUUAAGCAUUAAAUGGUAGGAUUUUAUUUGAGGCUUGAAAUUUUAAAUUUCUACCCAGAAUCAGAGAUUAACCACCUAUUUGAAAAAAAUUUAUGAAAUUGUCUCUCUUAGUUCUGUUAGGAUUCUAUUAACUUUAAGUGAAAUCUUAGAAGAGCUAAUCUGGAAUUAUAGUGUGUUUAUUCCUUGUAAUUAUUAUCUUCACCUUAGAAGCCAAUUAUACAUUUGGGGUAAGUUUAAUUAUUAUAUCAAUAUACGGACAGUUGUAAUACUAAGGAGUUUGAAGUUGAGACCAUUUGCAAAUGAUAUUUAGAUGGUUUCUUAAGUUAUAUCAACUAUCUGAUAACAUCUUGAAAAUUAGUCUUGACUGUGGUUAGUUGUCUUGCAUUGUAGACACAGAGUUCUUGGUUAAUAAACACAUCAGUCAGAAGGUUAAAGCUUCUCUCUCUCUCCCCCCCUUUUUUUUUUUUCUUUUUUAGGGCCACACCUGAGGCAUAUGGAGAUUCCCAGCCAGGCUAAGGGUCCAGUCAGAGCUACAGCUGCUGGCCUACGCCACAGCCACAGCAACAAAGGGUCCGAGCCUCAUCUGCGACCUACACCACAGCUCACGGCAACACCAUAUCCUUAACCCACUGAGAAAGGCCAGGGAUCAAACUACAACCUCAUGGUUCCUAGUUGGAUUCAUUUCCACUGCGCCACGAUGGGAACUCCAAGCUUCCCUUUUUAAAAAAAUUUUAAAUGUUAACGUUCCAUUAUAUUUUAAAUUCAUUAAUAUAAGGGCUAUAUCACAACCCCCAGCUAGACUUUGAAUGCAGUAGGAGUGGAAUAAACUUUCUUUUUUGGUAGUCUAUGCACCGAGCACUUCCUUUUUUAAAAAAAUUCUUUGAAGUAUAGUUGACUUGUAAUGUUAUAUUAGUUUCAGGUAUACAGCUAAGUGAAUCAGUUAUAUCUAUAUAUCCAUCCUUUUUCCCAUGUGGGUUAUUACAGCAUAUUGAGUAGAUUUCCCUGUAUUAUACGGUAGUUACUUGGUAGUUAUCUAUUUUAUAUAUAGGAGUGUGUAUGUUAAUCCCAUCCCCCUAAUUUAUCCCUCCUUCCUGCAGUUUCCCCUUUGGUAACUAUAAGUUUGAUUUUGAAAUCUCUGUUUGUUUCAGUUUUAUAAAUAAGUUAUUUUGUAUUAUUUUCUAUUAGAUUCCACAUUUAAGUGAUAUCAUAUGAUAUUUGUCCUUCUCUUUCUGGUUUACUUGGUAUGAUAAUCUCUAGGUCUAUCCAUGUUGCUGCAAAUGGCAUUAUUUCCCUCUUUUUUAAUGGCUGUGUCAUAUCCCGUUGCAUAUAUGUACCACAUCUUUUUUAUCAAUUCCUUUGUCAGUGGACAUUUAGGUUGCUUCCAUGUCCUGGCAGUUGUAAAUAGUGAGCACUUCUUUUCUUACAACUUAAUCGUGGUAGAGUUUAUCAUAAAACUCACUCCUUUUAUCUAUAUGGUUCAAUAGUUCUUAGUUAAUUUGCAGUGUUGUACAAGCAUCACCACAAUCCAGCAGGAUAUUUUCAUCACCAUAAAAUUCCUCAUCCCAUUUACAGUGAGUCCUUUUCCCUACUCUCAGCCCCAAGCAAUGACUAACUUACCUUCUGAAUUUCUAGAUUUACUUUUGCUGAAUAUUUCAUAUAAGUGGAAUCAUGCAAUAUGUAUUGCUUUGGUGUUUGCUUUUCCCUCUUAGCAUGUUUUUGAGGUUCAUUCAUAUUGCAGUAUGAAUCAGUGCUUCAUUCCCUUAUAGUGCUGAAUAGUAUUCCAUUGUAUGGACAGAACAUGUAUUGUUUAACCAUUCACCAGUUGGUGGGCAUCUGAAUUGUUUUCCACUUUUUGACUAUUAGGAAUAAUGCUGCUGUGAACAUUCAUGUACAAGUUUUUAUGUGGAUGUUUAUAUUCAUUUCUGGUAGGUAGACAGCUAGGUGUGAUUAUGGGGUUGUCUAAUAAAUGUAUGUUUAAAUUUUUGAGAAAAUGAGUGUUUUUAGAAGUGGCUGCUCUAUUUUGCAUUCCCGCCAGCAGCACAUGAAGGUUCUUGUUAGAAUAAAUCCUUUAAAAGAGCUUUGAAGAACUUCUCUGCAUUGAAUGAGAGCAGAUUUGUGAAUGGAUUUACAUGUACAGCACCUGUCAUUAUUGGGCCACAGAUGAGGGAGUGUGAAAUAGGAAAGGAAGAGCAAAUACAGGGAAAGAGGGGCACCCCCACCCUCCAGUCUUUGAACAACCACUGUUUCAUUUUGUUGUCAUGGUUGUUUGUUUUAUUUGUUUUUGGCUAUAUUUUUUUCAGUGCUUAUCAAGAGUAGUUAGUUAAAAUCCUUUCCAAGGAGAGCCUAGCCCAGAGAGUGAAUGGGAUGUCUCAGGCAGUUGGGUUCCUCUGUGUUUUUUGGGUGUGUGCGUGUGUGUCUUUUUUUCUUCUGGUUUUAUUGAGAUCCAGCUGACACACAGCACUGUAGAAGCUUAAGUUGUAUGGCAUAUUGAUUUGACUUACAUCCAUUAUGAAAGAUUAUCACAAUAAGUUUAGUGAACAUCCGUCAUCUCAUAUAGAUACAAAAGAAAAGAAAAAAAAAA
rnacentral:lncRNA from 9 species